CCUAGGGUGGCUGCAGUGGGGAAUAUUGGACAAUGGGCGAAAGCCUGAUCCAGCCAUGCCGCGUGUGUGAAGAAGGCCUUCGGGUUGUAAAGCACUUUCAGUGGGGAAGAAAGCCUUGGGGCUAAUACCCUCGAGGAAGGACAUCACCCACAGAAGAAGCACCGGCUAACUCCGUGCCAGCAGCCGCGGUAAUACGGAGGGUGCGAGCGUUAAUCGGAAUUACUGGGCGUAAAGCGCGCGUAGGCGGUCUGAUAAGCCGGUUGUGAAAGCCCCGGGCUCAACCUGGGAACGGCAUCCGGAACUGUCAGGCUAGAGUGCAGGAGAGGAAGGUAGAAUUCCCGGUGUAGCGGUGAAAUGCGUAGAGAUCGGGAGGAAUACCAGUGGCGAAGGCGGCCUUCUGGACUGACACUGACGCUGAGGUGCGAAAGCGUGGGUAGCAAACAGGAUUAGAUACCUAGUGUC
rnacentral:rRNA from 1 species